rnacentral:tRNA from 1 species
CAGGGAGACAACAAAAUGUUUAAUAUUAUUAUUUUGUCACCUUAGGUCGAUCGGUAUCUCACGUUCUUAAUUUUAAGAAUUUUAUUUCCUAAGUUUUUCUAGGUCACACCCAUUUUUUUCCUGGGCCAUUAGCUCAGGUGGUUAGAGCGCACCCCUGAUAAGGGUGAGGUCCCUGGUUCAAGUCCAGGAUGGCCCAUAUCUCUAUGUUGGGGGUAUAGCUCAGUUGGUAGAGCGCCUGCUUUGCAAGCAGGAUGUCAGCGGUUCGAGUCCGCUUACCUCCACUGAUCACCACCUCUUCAUAAUUUAUAGAAGGGAAUUGUUUUGAGUUAUGAUCAAAUUCUGAACGAAUCUAGCUUCCUAAUUGAAUCUAUUAAGAUGCUGGACUCAUUGAAUUAAUUUCAUUGUUUUCAGAGAACCUUGACAACUGCAUAGAUUAUUUUUAAAGACAAUAAGCAUCAUUAUGAUGCAGAUUUAUUAUUUGUGCGAAUGCAUUAAUAACAAUUCUAUUAAGCUGAUGCUUCAAUUUUGAAGUUAUU